rnacentral:misc_RNA from 1 species
GAUGAAGAACGUAGCGAAAUGCGAUACGUAAUGUGAAUUGCAGAAUUCAGUGAAUCAUCGAAUCUUUGAACGCACAUUGCGCUCUCUGGUAUUCCGGAGAGCAUGCUUGUUUGAGUAUCAGUAAACACCUCAACUCCUUUAUUGUAGUUGGACUUGAGCUAUCCCAACAGGACUUUUUGUUCCUGGCGGGAGGCUUGAAAUGCAGGUGCAGCUGGACUUUCUUCUGAGCUAUAAGCAUAUUUAUUUAAUCCCUUAACACGGAUUAUUACUUUUUUUCUGCAGCUAACAUAAAGGUUGAAUUUCCAUUGAGCUGACUGAUGCAGGAAUUUGGCAAGGAAUUUUUUUAAUGACUUGUUAAACUCGAUCUCAAAUCAAGUAAGACUACCCGCUGAACUUAAGCAUAUCAAUAAGCGGAGGA